AAGGAAGGGAAAGAGGGAGGGAGAGAGGAAGGAAGGAAGGGAAGAAGGGAAGGAAGGAAGGAAGGAAGAGGGGAAGGAGGGGGGAGGAGGAAGGAAUGAAGAGAGAAAGGAAGGCAGGGAAGGAGGGGAGAGAGGGAGGAAGGGGGAAAGGAAAGAAGGAAGGAAGAAGGAAAGAAGAAAGGAAGGAAAAAAGGAAGGGAAAGAGGAAGGGAAAGAGGAAGGAAGGAAGGAAGGAAGGGCAAUUGGUACUAAAUUCUUGUAGUGCCCAGGCACUCUUCCCCUAGUGGGCAGGGCAGAGAGACUGUGAAAGGUGGAGAUGAAGGAGAGCCAUCAUUUCACUCUUGAGAAAGGACGGAGCAGGCUGUGUGGAAGAGAUGAGAUCUGGGAUAAAUUGGAAAAGGUAUCAAAAAAUUAGGAGGGAAGAAAUAUUUUCAGCAAGUCUGCUACCACACUCCUCAAAUUCAACUAAGAGUGGUGAUUUAAUGUCAGAAAAGCUCCGCAUCCAGCCCUAUUAGCAGGGGCAGAAACAGACGCCAGGAGACACUGCCCACCUCCUGGGAAUCGGAAUCAGCCUUCACAGCACCAGGAGCCUGGGGUGGGCUGCUGUUUCUGUAAGGUUUUAAAAAGUCAGAGAGCACAGAGUUCUUCCGGAGCCUAUUCUGACUCCUCCUGAGUUUUGUUCACGUGAGAUAAUAUCCUCCUGGGAAAAAAUCUUGAUGGAAAGCCAAGGCCCCCCUGCUGGCUGCAAGAAACCGGAAUUCGGCCUUUUCGGCGCGCACCCGGACACGGCGCUGGGAUGAAGGCGCCCAGUUCAUGCCCAGCCAGGGCCUGCAGGGACAACGGGAUGGUCACAGGACGGCUGCCUCAGCUCCAAACAGCAACAUCUGAAGGAGAAAGGUAGGAGACAGGUGCAGAAGGAAGCUUUCUCUCUGGGAAGAUACUCCUUUUCAUCUGGGAAAAAUAUUUUCCAUAGCAUCCCCUGGCCAAGUUUCUCCUACACUUUAUGGCAAGAGUUGGGCACACAGGCACACACGGCCUAACCUACUGGCAUGGAAAGGGAGCCCCAUGGCUGUUUCUGAGCAACCACGGUUUAUCCCCCGGCUUGAGGCAGGAACUGGCCUCCUCUGAGGUUGGGGACUUUUCAGCCAGUAUCUGAGCAAAACUGAGGCUGCACUAGCAGAGAAGACCUGAGAGAAAUGGCUGCUGGGCAGGCAACAACACUGUCUGGGUAGUGGUGCAUGACCCGGCGGCUUGCAAGCUCCUUCCUCCUCACUUAGUGGUCUUCACUCAAAGGAAAACAUCUUUCCAAGUUUAAAUUGUAUUAAAGGUCUCCUUCCUCUCUCCUAGUCUACAGUAACGCUCUUACCCAAUCCAUUCCAAGUUUAAAUUGUAUGAAAGGUCUCCUUCCUCUGUCCUAGUCUAUAGCAACACUCUUAC
rnacentral:lncRNA from 10 species